rnacentral:rRNA from 1 species
AUUGAACGCUGGCGGCAGGCUUAACACAUGCAAGUCGAGCGAGCGGCGGACGGGUGAGUACUGUAUGGGGAUCUGCCCUAUAGAGGGGGAUAACUACUGGAAACGGUGGCUAAUACCGCAUACUAUCGGAUGAACCCAUAUGGGAUUAGGUAGUUGGUGGGGUAAAGGCUCACCAAGCCGACGAUCUCUAGCUGGUCUGAGAGGAUGAUCAGCCACACUGGGACUGAGACACGGCCCAGACUCCUACGGUAGGCAGCAGUGGGGAAUAUUGCGCAAUGGGGGCAAGCCUGAUGCAGCCAUGCCGCGUGAAUGAAGAAGGCCUUAGGGUUGUAAAGUACUUUCAGUGGGGAGGCGUUACCCGCAGAAGAAGCACCGGCUAACUCCGUGCCAGCAGCCGCGGUAAUAC